AUUGAACGCUGGCGGCAGGCCUAACACAUGCAAGUCGAACGGUAACAGGAAGCAGCUUGCUGCUUUGCUGACGAGUGGCGGACGGGUGAGUAAUGUCUGGGAAACUGCCUGAUGGAGGGGGAUAACUACUGGAAGCGGUAGCUAAUACCGCAUAACGUCGCAAGACCAAAGAGGGGGACCUUCGGGCCUCUUGCCAUCGGAUGUGCCCAGAUGGGAUUAGCUAGUAGGUGGGGUAACGGCUCACCUAGGCGACGAUCCCUAGCUGGUCUGAGAGGAUGACCAGCCACACUGGAACUGAGACACGGUCCAGACUCCUACGGGAGGCAGCAGUGGGGAAUAUUGCACAAUGGGCGCAAGCCUGAUGCAGCCAUGCCGCGUGUAUGAAGAAGGCCUUUCGGGUUGUAAAGUACUUUGCAGCGGGGAGGAAGGCGAUAAGGUUAAUAACCUUGUCGAUUGACGUUACCCGCAGAAGAAGCACCGCUAACUCC
rnacentral:rRNA from 1 species